UUUCCGUAGGUGAACCUGCGGAAGGAUCAUUCAUAAUAAGUGUUUUAUGGCACUUUUUUAAAUCAAUAUCCACUUUGUUUGAAAUGUCAGGGUUGAUCUUUCUCUCGAGGGGCUCAGCCCCAAACAUUAACUAUAUCCCAACUCUUUGUCUGAAAAAUAAUAUGAAUAAAACAAUUCAAAAUACAACUUUCAACAACGGAUCUCUUGGCUCUC
rnacentral:misc_RNA from 1 species